rnacentral:misc_RNA from 1 species
UUUAUUUUUUUUUUUUUUUUUGUGUUAACUUGACCUGUCAAGCUAAUUAAUAAAUUGUUUUGGAGGGAUCAACAAUUUCCAUCAUAAAAAUUUGCCAUAUUUUCACAACUUAUGGCACACUCACGACUCAUCAGUUGUUGUCAGGAGGAUAAUUCAGAGCCCCAAAGUGAAGAUCAAUAAAGAGUGGAAAAAAGAAGGGGGAAAAUUGUAAAAAUGUAAGGAUACAUCAGCAGAAUGCAUUUGAUCCGGUCAGUGGCAUCUACCUAUGUCUCCUCAAUUUAUUCAAGCCACUCCUCUCCACAUUCCUUAUCAAGAAAAGGGUAAUGUGUGAGUUACUUGAACUUGAGUUUGUGUCUAAAGCCUAAGCUCUGCUUUAUUUCAAAAAUCUUCAUAGAAUUUCCUAAUGAAUUGAAGAAUCAGAAUACAAUACCACAUCUGAG